AGUUAGGGACUGGUCCAAGACAAGGACUUCCCCGAGGAAGUACGCCUGGCGCCGACUCUGCUCUCCUUCCGGCGCCAGGCUACUUAGAUGUGCAGCAGCCAAGGCCAGCACCUUGUAGGCACUCUAAUAUUUUUUUAGUAACGUUGAACCAGCUCUUCGGGAUGAAUUGAUUUUGCUAUAUCAAGUCUAUGCUAGACUUAUCUCCCCUUGACCUCUCGGACAUAAUGAAAUAAUAUGAGAAAAUGCCAAGAAAGCACUAAGUAUUGAGGACAAGAUUUAAACACUAUGACAGACCUUUGGUAAACUUAGUAUAUCUGAUUUAUUUUACUUUUUCUGAAGAUUACUGAGAUGUCAAAGUUAUAGCCAAUUUAACCAAUCAGUGGAAGAAAACAUGUUGUAUGCUAUGUUUGUAUGCAAUAACUAUUCUAAUUCUGCUUA